rnacentral:tRNA from 1 species
UAUUAAGAAGCUAUUCAGCGCUAGCCUUUUAAGCUAGAGACCGGGACUUCAACCUCCCCUAAUAGG